UUAUGCGGAAAUGAAAUUGAAUGUUACUUCGAACACGUUCUUCUACAAAAUAACCGACCUGUAUUUAGUGCUAUUGCUUUAACAUCAAUCGAAGCAAAAAUGGCAUCAAUGUAUGCGUCUAAAAAUGUUAAAUUUAGAUGGAGACAAUCCAGAAAUGAGCUGCCAGGAAGUGAUCGAUUUCGGACACGAAGAUUGAGAAGUGCCUGGAUACAAGGCUAGUAUUGUUAACAUCAUCUGAUACAAUCAACUGGAAAACAGCUGAAAUGGCUGCCUGACCUGACUUAAAAAUUGGAUGGCAGUACAUCAGACUAGAAGAUUACAAGUAUUGAGGUGGACAAAAUGAAACCUGAGUCUACCAAAGCUGACAGAUUGCACAAGAAACACAUAAAUGCAGGUGGUGCGAUCAUUGCAUUGAGUGGAAGAAACUCCUAGAUACCUACAGAAAUAAGAAAAAUCAAAUUAACACUCAAAGAACACAAUCAUGGUUAUGGUCAACAUCGUAUGAAAAAAUCAUCGACAUUUUCCUGGGCAGGGCCAUUCAAUGUUUCUGAUAUUUCCUGCAUGUGUCACCUCUGGAAAAACUGCAAAAUGUUCGACAUAGCAGAAAGCACCAUGCAGCGUUUAAUGAAGGUCAGAAAUGAAUACUUUGCACACAAUAGUGAAGUCACUCUUCCCUUGACUCAAAAGAUGGAAGUGUUUGAUGCUUUAUUCGACCUUGUUGCAGAAAAAGAUAUGCAGGCUUACCUUGACGUAAAACAAUGCAGACGUGAACUGGAACAAAUCCAGGAUAAAGAAUACGUCCCAGUUUUAGAAGUUAUCAAUGAGUUGAAAAGGGAAGUGAGAAAUGUAAAUACCGAAUCAACGGAAAAUAAACGAGAAUUUAAUCAAGCCUUUGAUCGUUUGUUGGACACAACCGAUGAGAUACAGGCUGCUACAACGCGUUUGUUAGAACAGACAUAUGAGAUAAAUGUUGCUAAAAAAGAGAUUUUCCACUUUUUAAGGCAGAAUAACAAACGU